UUAAGCGACUAAGCGUACACGGUGGAUGCCCUGGCAGUCAGAGGCGAUGAAGGACGUGCUAAUCUGCGAUAAGCGUCGGUAAGGUGAUAUGAACCGUUAUAACCGGCGAUUUCCGAAUGGGGAAACCCAGUGUGAUUCGUCACACUAUCAUUAACUGAAUCCAUAGGUUAAUGAGGCGAACCGGGGGAACUGAAACAUCUAAGUACCCCGAGGAAAAGAAAUCAACCGAGAUUCCCCCAGUAGCGGCGAGCGAACGGGGAGGAGCCCAGAGCCUGAAUCAGUGUGUGUGUUAGUGGAAGCGUCUGGAAAGGCGCGCGAUACAGGGUGACAGCCCCGUACACAAAAAUGCACAUGCUGUGAGCUCGAUGAGUAGGGCGGGACACGUGGUAUCCUGUCUGAAUAUGGGGGGACCAUCCUCCAAGGCUAAAUACUCCUGACUGACCGAUAGUGAACCAGUACCGUGAGGGAAAGGCGAAAAGAACCCCGGCGAGGGGAGUGAAAAAGAACCUGAAACCGUGUACGUACAAGCAGUGGGAGCACGCUUAGGCGUGUGACUGCGUACCUUUUGUAUAAUGGGUCAGCGACUUAUAUUCUGUAGCAAGGUUAACCGAAUAGGGGAGCCGAAGGGAAACCGAGUCUUAACUGGGCGUUAAGUUGCAGGGUAUAGACCCGAAACCCGGUGAUCUAGCCAUGGGCAGGUUGAAGGUUGGGUAACACUAACUGGAGGACCGAACCGACUAAUGUUGAAAAAUUAGCGGAUGACUUGUGGCUGGGGGUGAAAGGCCAAUCAAACCGGGAGAUAGCUGGUUCUCCCCGAAAGCUAUUUAGGUAGCGCCUCGUGAAUUCAUCUCCGGGGGUAGAGCACUGUUUCGGCAAGGGGGUCAUCCCGACUUACCAACCCGAUGCAAACUGCGAAUACCGGAGAAUGUUAUCACGGGAGACACACGGCGGGUGCUAACGUCCGUCGUGAAGAGGGAAACAACCCAGACCGCCAGCUAAGGUCCCAAAGUCAUGGUUAAGUGGGAAACGAUGUGGGAAGGCCCAGACAGCCAGGAUGUUGGCUUAGAAGCAGCCAUCAUUUAAAGAAAGCGUAAUAGCUCACUGGUCGAGUCGGCCUGCGCGGAAGAUGUAACGGGGCUAAACCAUGCACCGAAGCUGCGGCAGCGACGCUUAUGCGUUGUUGGGUAGGGGAGCGUUCUGUAAGCCUGUGAAGGUGUGCUGUGAGGCAUGCUGGAGGUAUCAGAAGUGCGAAUGCUGACAUAAGUAACGAUAAAGCGGGUGAAAAGCCCGCUCGCCGGAAGACCAAGGGUUCCUGUCCAACGUUAAUCGGGGCAGGGUGAGUCGACCCCUAAGGCGAGGCCGAAAGGCGUAGUCGAUGGGAAACAGGUUAAUAUUCCUGUACUUGGUGUUACUGCGAAGGGGGGACGGAGAAGGCUAUGUUGGCCGGGCGACGGUUGUCCCGGUUUAAGCGUGUAGGCUGGUUUUCCAGGCAAAUCCGGAAAAUCAAGGCUGAGGCGUGAUGACGAGGCACUACGGUGCUGAAGCAACAAAUGCCCUGCUUCCAGGAAAAGCCUCUAAGCAUCAGGUAACAUCAAAUCGUACCCCAAACCGACACAGGUGGUCAGGUAGAGAAUACCAAGGCGCUUGAGAGAACUCGGGUGAAGGAACUAGGCAAAAUGGUGCCGUAACUUCGGGAGAAGGCACGCUGAUAUGUAGGUGAAGUCCCUCGCGGAUGGAGCUGAAAUCAGUCGAAGAUACCAGCUGGCUGCAACUGUUUAUUAAAAACACAGCACUGUGCAAACACGAAAGUGGACGUAUACGGUGUGACGCCUGCCCGGUGCCGGAAGGUUAAUUGAUGGGGUCAGCGCAAGCGAAGCUCUUGAUCGAAGCCCCGGUAAACGGCGGCCGUAACUAUAACGGUCCUAAGGUAGCGAAAUUCCUUGUCGGGUAAGUUCCGACCUGCACGAAUGGCGUAAUGAUGGCCAGGCUGUCUCCACCCGAGACUCAGUGAAAUUGAACUCGCUGUGAAGAUGCAGUGUACCCGCGGCAAGACGGAAAGACCCCGUGAACCUUUACUAUAGCUUGACACUGAACAUUGAGCCUUGAUGUGUAGGAUAGGUGGGAGGCUUUGAAGUGUGGACGCCAGUCUGCAUGGAGCCGACCUUGAAAUACCACCCUUUAAUGUUUGAUGUUCUAACGUUGACCCGUGAUCCGGGUUGCGGACAGUGUCUGGUGGGUAGUUUGACUGGGGCGGUCUCCUCCUAAAGAGUAACGGAGGAGCACGAAGGUUGGCUAAUCCUGGUCGGACAUCAGGAGGUUAGUGCAAUGGCAUAAGCCAGCUUGACUGCGAGCGUGACGGCGCGAGCAGGUGCGAAAGCAGGUCAUAGUGAUCCGGUGGUUCUGAAUGGAAGGGCCAUCGCUCAACGGAUAAAAGGUACUCCGGGGAUAACAGGCUGAUACCGCCCAAGAGUUCAUAUCGACGGCGGUGUUUGGCACCUCGAUGUCGGCUCAUCACAUCCUGGGGCUGAAGUAGGUCCCAAGGGUAUGGCUGUUCGCCAUUUAAAGUGGUACGCGAGCUGGGUUUAGAACGUCGUGAGACAGUUCGGUCCCUAUCUGCCGUGGGCGCUGGAGAACUGAGGGGGGCUGCUCCUAGUACGAGAGGACCGGAGUGGACGCAUCACUGGUGUUCGGGUUGUCAUGCCAAUGGCACUGCCCGGUAGCUAAAUGCGGAAGAGAUAAGUGCUGAAAGCAUCUAAGCACGAAACUUGCCCCGAGAUGAGUUCUCCCUGACUCCUUGAGAGUCCUGAAGGAACGUUGAAGACGACGACGUUGAUAGGCCGGGUGUGUAAGCGCAGCGAUGCGUUGAGCUAACCGGUACUAAUGAACCGUGAGGCUUAACCU
rnacentral:rRNA from 1 species